rnacentral:rRNA from 1 species
CCUGCAUGAAGUCGGAAUUGCUAGUAAUCGCAGAUCAGCAUGCUGUGGUGAAUACGUUCCCGGGGCCUUGUACACACCGCCCGUCACACCAUGGGAGUCGGUAACACCCAAAGUUGGUAGUCUAACCGCAAGGAGGACGCCGCCUAAGGUGGGAUUGAUGACUGGGGUGAAGUCGUAACAAGGUAUC